rnacentral:rRNA from 1 species
UACGGAAGGCAGCAGGGGGAAUAUUGCACAAUGGGCGCAAGCCUGAUGCAGCCAUGCCGCGUGUAUGAAGAAGGCCUUCGGGUUGUAAAGUACUUUCAGUCGUGAGGAAGGUGUUAAGGUUAAUAACCUUAGCAAUUGACGUUAGCGACAGAAGAAGCACCGGCUAACUCCGUGCCAGCAGCCGCGGUAAUACGGAGAGGGCUAGCGUUAUUCGGAAUUAUUGGGCGUAAAGAGCGCGUAGGCUGAUUAGUAAGUUAAAAGUGAAAUCCCAAAGCUUAACUUUGGAAUUGCUUUUUAAAACUGCUAGUCUAGAGAUUGAAAGAGGAUAGAGGAAUUCCUAGUGUAGAGGUGAAAUUCGUAAAUAUUAGGAGGAACACCAGUGGCGAAGGCGUCUAUCUGGUUCAAAUCUGACGCUGAGGCGCGAAGGGCGUGGGGAGCAAACAGGGAUUUAGGA